rnacentral:rRNA from 1 species
ACUCCUACGGGAGGCAGCAGUGGGGAAUCUUGGACAAUGGGGGCAACCCUGAUCCAGCCAUGCCGCGUGAGUGAUGAAGGCCUUAGGGUCGUAAAGCUCUUUCGCCUGUGAAGAUAAUGACGGUAGCAGGUAAAGAAACCCCGGCUAACUCCGUGCCAGCAGCCGCGGUAAUACGGAGGGGGUUAGCGUUGUUCGGAAUUACUGGGGCGUAAAGCGCACGUAGGCGGAUCGGAAAGUUGGGGGUGAAAUCCCGGGGCUCAACCCCGGAACUGCCUCCAAAACUAUCGGUCUAGAGUUCGAGAGAGGUGAGUGGAAUUCCGAGUGUAGAGGUGAAAUUCGUAGAUAUUCGGAGGAACACCAGUGGCGAAGGCGGCUCACUGGCUCGAUACUGACGCUGAGGUGCGAAAGUGUGGGGAGCAAAACAGGAUUAGAUACCCUGGUAGGACAGUG